GAACGAACGCUGGCGGCAGGCCUAAAACAUGCAAGUCGAACGAACCUUCGGGUUAGUGGCGCACGGGUGCGUAACGCGUGGGAAUGUGCCUCUGGGUGCGGAACAACGUCGGGAAACUGACGCUAAUACCGCAUAAUAUCUACGGAUCAAAGAUUUAUCGCCCAGAGAUCAGCCCGCGUUAGAUUAGGUAGUUGGUAGGGUAAUGGCCUACCAAGCCGACGAUCUAUAGCUGGUCUGAGAGGAUGAUCAGCCACACUGGAACUGAGACACGGUCCAGACUCCCACGGGAGGCAGCAGUUAGGAAUAUUGGACAACGGGGGCAACCCUGAUCCAGCCAUGCCGCGUGUGUGAAGAAGGCCUUAGGGUUGUAAAGCACUUUCGUCUGUGAAGAUAAUGACAGUAGCAGAAGAAGAAGCUCCGGCUAAAUUCGUGCCAGCAGCCGCGGUAAUACGAAUGGAGCGAGCGUUGUUCGGAAUCACUGGGCGUAAAGGGUGCGCAGGCGGUCGUGAAAGUUAGAAGUGAAAUCCCAGGGCUUAACCUUGGAAUGGCUUUUAAAACUCCACGACUAGAGUACUGGAGAGGUUGGCGGAAUUCCGAGUGUAGAGGUGAAAUUCGCAGAUAUUCGGAGGAACACCAAUGGCGUANGCAGCCAACUGGACAGUAACUGACGCUCAUGCACGAAAGCGUGGGGAUCAAACAGGAUUAGAUACCCUGGUAGUCCACGCCCUAAACNAUGUGUGCUAGUUGUCGGGACCUUUNNNUUCGGUGACGCAGCUAACGCUUUAAGCACACCGCCUGGGGAGUACGGUCGCAGAUUAAAACUNNAAGGAAUUGACGGNACCCNCANANCGGUGGAGCAUGUUGUUNANUCGANGCACGCNAGAACCNUACCUACACUUGACAUGCCNUA
rnacentral:rRNA from 1 species